rnacentral:tRNA from 1 species
ACCUGGUUGUCGCAGUCAGUGGAGUGUGUGACUCUUGAUCCCAAGGUUGUGGGUUCAAGCCCCAUGCUGGGUA